UACGGGGGGGGCAAGCGUUGUUCGGAAUUACUGGGCGUAAAGGGCUCAUAGGCGGCCAACUAAGUCGGAUGUGAAAUCCCCAGGCUUAACCUGGGAACUGCAUCCGAUACUGGAUGGCUUGAAUCCGGGAGAGGGAUGCAGAAUUCCAGGUGUAGCGGUGAAAUGCGUAGAUAUCUGGAGGAAUACCGGUGGCGAAGGCGGCAUCCUGGACCGGCAUUGACGCUGAUGAGCGAAAGCUAGGGGAGCGAACGGG
rnacentral:rRNA from 1 species